CCGGCUAACUUCGUGCCAGCAGCCGCGGUAAUACGAAGGGGGGCGAGCGUUGUUCGGAAUUACUGGGCGUAAAGGGCGCGCAGGCGGCUCAGACAGUCAGAUGUGAAAGCCCCGGGCUUAACCUGGGAACUGCAUUUGAUACUACUGAGCCUGAGUACGGGAGAGGAUAGUGGAAUUCCCAGUGUAGAGGUGAAAUUCGUAGAUAUUGGGAAGAACACCGGUGGCGAAGGCGGCUAUCUGGACCGUAACUGACGCUGAGGCGCGAAAGCGUGGGGAGCAAACAGGAUUAGAUANCCCUGGUAGUCCACGCCGUAAACGAUGUGCGCUAGACGUUGGGAGGCUUAGCCUCUCGGUGUCGAAGCUAACGCGAUAAGCGCACCGCCUGGGGAGUACGGCCGCAAGGUUAAAACUCAAAGGAAUUGACGGGGGCCCGCACAAGCGGUGGAGCAUGUGGUUUAAUUCGACGCAACGCGAAGAACCUUACCAGCUCUUGACAUGCCCGGUAUGGGGUUGAGAAAUCAGCUCCUUCAGUUCGGCUGGCCGGUGCACAGGUGCUGCA
rnacentral:rRNA from 1 species